UCAAUUAUAUAAAAUAAUUACACAAAUACAUUUUGUUUCUAUGAUGAGUCAUGCUCUUAUUUAAUAAUAAAACAGAACUUUUCGGUAAAUCUAAUAGAAUUGCUACAAAUUGUAACAAAUUUCUGCAGUCUGGUCCUAUAAAAACUAACCGAACUGCGUGUAGUAGAUUUUAUAAGUUUAAUACUUUUGUAAUGAUAGUGUAACAAUAUACUAGUCACACUCAUCUUUAUCACUCUCUUCUAACAUUAAUCAAACACAGUUUGUGAUACAUUUACCUUAAGUGAGAUUUUGUUUCCUACUAUGAUUCAGUUUUGUGAUAGGGAUGGAUAGGACUGGUUAUAUGUUUAUAAAUUUAAAAUAGUAUUACAUUACAUGGUCAUGUGCUGAUUUAUUCAGUUUCGAUGCAAUAAUAAGGAAUUGCACAAUUAAGAUGGAAGUGUUAACGCCUCGAUUAACAAUGAGACUAAUUUAACUGCAGACUGUUAUGUGAAAUGAAUUUGCAAGAUUUAUAACGUUUUGCAUACAUGAAAAUAUUGUAUUUCUGAGUGAUUAUUGUAUGUGAUUGUAUAAUACUAAUUAGCUUCAGCAUACUACUUAGCUUUUAUAUCCUGUGUUGCAGCCUAAGUAUUUAUCCACUGUAUGAAGAAUUAUCAAAGAACUCAUCAAUCAUCAAAACAGAUAUAAAACCAAUUUUUUUGCAUUGUUACGGUUAAAAUUAAUCAAUAUAUAAUGCGUUUUACUCUGUGAUUUCAUUCCUUGGAUUAUUAUGCAAGAAAGCAAAGCUUCUUUGCGAUAAGCACGACCGAUUAAUGGCAACGUAAAAGAUGCGGAUUGUUAUAUUCAUUUUAUUUAUAUAGUAAUAUUAGUAAAAAUCUCGACGAUAGCAUCGAUUGCAUCGAAGAUGUAGCCAAAAAAUGUAAGAGGUAUAUAAUUCUAGGAUCAAAUGAUUGUACUUACAUAAAUAAUGAGAAAUAUUUUGACUGACUUUUUAUUACAUAUAAUUCUUACUGCUUAUUGUGACUACGUUAAGUUCAUUACUUUAGCGUCAAGAUGCGAGAGUUAUUAUUUUACUUAAUUAUCUCCGUAAUCAUAAACGAGGAUGGAUGUGUUGUAUUGUAUAUUCUGCAUGUAUAUUUUGCUAUUUGAUAUAUUUAACUAACACUGGUUUAAUUACGGGAUAUGAUAAUAUGGCGUAAUCACAUGUAUAGACAACACAUGUGAUAAUAAAAUAAUAUUUAUAAUUGA